CUCCAGAAUUACCUCUCUAUGCUGAUUAUAGGUCUGUUAACUGUUUAGAUUAUGUCUCUAGGAUGCUAAAUCCUGCACUAGUAGAGCUCACUGGGAUUCUCCCUUCUUCACCUAUACCUUCUCCUCCCCUUUGUGCUGCCUUGUGAUUGGUACUGGGGCUAUUCUCUCACUGUUCCACUAUCCAAAAUCUCUGUGUAUUUCCAAAUUUCAGUCUCUCCACUAUGGCAUUCCAGCAUUCUCUCAUGGUCACCCAUCUCAGUCUGCAGCUACACUCAUAUUAUUUUGAUUCUAACUUGUAGAGAAGCAGGUGUUAGGUGCCUCUAAUCCAUCAUCUUGAAUCUCUGGCAUCUGUUUCUUUUUAUUAUUAUUAUUCUUUUUAGAUAUGAAUGACAGUAAAGUAUAUUUUGACAUUAUACAGGCAUGAAGUGUAUCUUAUUCUAAUUAGGAUCCCAUUCUUGUGGUUGUACAUGAUGUGGAGAUUUACUGUGGUAUAUUCAUAUAUUAUGAACAUAAGAAAGUAAUGUUAGAUUCAUUCCACUAUCUUUCCUAUUCCUAUCUCUCCUCCAUUGCCUUCAUUCCCCUUUGUCUAAUCCACUGAACUUCUAUUAUUUCCCUCCCCCUUGUUCUGUGUUAGUAUCUACAUAUCAGAGAGAACAUUCAAUAUUUGGUUUUGGGGGAUUGGCUAUUUCACUUAGCAUGGUAGUCUCCAGAUCCAUUCAUUUA
rnacentral:lncRNA from 1 species